GGUGUAGGUGGUCAUGACAGUCGGAUGUGAAAGCCCUGGGCUCAACCCAGGAAGUGCAUCCGAUACUUCAUGACUUGAGUACUGGAGAGGGAAGCGGAAUUCCUGGUGUAGCGGUGAAAUGCGUAGAUAUCAGGAGGAACAUCGGUGGCGAAGGCGGCUUCCUGGCCAUGUACUGACACUCAGACCCGAAAGCGUGGGGGCAAACA
rnacentral:rRNA from 1 species